UGAAAGAAGCCUUCCCUCCUUCAAAUUGUGGGUGGUAGCAGGUCUUUUUUCCUGACAGGGAAGUGAUUAAGACAGUGAGGCAUUACAAACUUCUUAUUGUCAGCUGCUUGGUGUUCGGUGGCAACAACUUAGUGAGGAAGACCCUUGCAAGAUGGAAGCCUUCCCAGUCCUCUGCGAGUGGAGUGGGGAUUUAAUUUCCGAAGCUUAUCGAGCAGUUUUCCUCGCAUGUUCCUGGUAAUAGAUGUACUUACUGGGCAUCGUGAUGCACGCUUUUGAUCCCAGCACUCCGGAGGCUGCAGCAGGAGAACCUCUGUAAAUUUGAGGCCAGCCUGGGGUACACACUCAUGGUCAACUGGCUCCAUUCAGAAAAAGGACACAGAGGUCAUGGUUGAAGAAAAGGUGCUCAAGUCGUGGCAGCCAGGAAUCAGAAAGAAAAGGAGGAACCAGGGACAAGAGUACACUCUUCCCCAGGUCACACCUCCAGUGACUGUCCUCUAACCGGAGCCUGCCUCUAACAGCACAUUCAGGGAAAUGUUCUCCAGAAGUCUGCACACGUUCUGCACCAGCCUCUAAUAUGUGGGACUGUAUCUUCCAUAGCUAGGAGAAUCAAGGUCCACAGGUCCUGGAAUCAAGCGGUGGAAAUGGGAAUGUUACCACUCAACAUUGUUCUCAGUGACACACUGGCAAGAUCUGUGUUCCUUCUUUUAACCAUGUCUUCUGCUAACCUUAAAAUCUUAGUUCCAAAGGGAAACGCAGCAAUGAUUCUAUUGAAUUAGAACUCAAAACUUCCCAGAGCCAUUUUGGGCUCCUUAUGCCCAUGAGUCAACAAGAGGAGUUGUGAUGUUGGCAGGGGUGAUUAAUGUGUACAACCAAUGGAGAAUUGGACUGCAACUGUACAAUGAGGCAAGGAAGAACCCAAUCUGGGAAGAGUGAAAAUUUCCCAGACUCUUUAGGAAUGCUCACAUGGGUUCCUCUGCCAGGUAGAGAAGCAAGGUAUGCCAAGGUGUAUGCUGAAGGU